rnacentral:rRNA from 1 species
AUGUCUUCCUCCUCCGGUGCCGCCCAGUCCAAUCUCAAUGGGCAGGUCAUCGAGAAGCUCUCCCGCACGAACUACGUGCUGUGGCGCACACAGAGCACACCCCAACUGUGUGGCGCCGGUGUCUUCAGCUACAUCGACGACACACUACCGGAGCCGACCAAGCUCCACGCCGCCAAGGACAAGGACGGCAAGGACACCUUCGAGCCCAACCCUCUCCACCCUCUUUCGGUUAGGGAGGACCAGCAGGUGCUCGGCUUCCUCCUCAGCAACCUCUCCAAGGAAGUGCUGGUAACGGUGACCGCGGUC